rnacentral:rRNA from 1 species
UGGGGAAUAUUGGACAAUGGGCGAAAGCCUGAUCCAGCAACGCCGCGUGGAGGAUGAAGGCCCUAGGGUUGUAAACUCCUGUCAGGUGGGACGAAAAGGCGUCGGCGAAUACCCGGCGUCCUCGACGGUACCACCGGAGGAAGCCCCGGCUCACUACGUGCCAGCAGCCGCGGUAACACGUAGGGGGCGAGCGUUAUUCGGAAUUAUUGGGCGUAAAGGGCGCGUAGGCGGCCAGACAAGUCAGGGGUGAAAUCCCUCGGCUCAACCGAGGAACUGCCUUUGAAACGGUCUGGCUUGAGGCCGGGAGAGGGUGGUGGAAUUCCUAGUGUAGCGGUGAAAUGCGUAGAUAUUGGGAGGAACACCAGUGGCGAAGGCGGCCACCUGGACCGGUUCUGACGCUGAGGCGCGAAAGUGUGGGGAGCAA